CACUGGAAGGCUAUUCCAGGUAUCUACUACCCUUUCUAUAUCACUGUUACUGCUCCCACUGGAAGGCUAUUCCAGGUAUCUACUACCCUUUCUAUAUCACUGUUACUGCUCCCACUGGAAGGCUACUCCAGGUAUCUACUACCCUUUCUAUAUCACUGUUACUGCUCCCACUGGAAGGCUAUUCCAGGUAUCUACUACCCUUUCUAUAUCACUGUUACUGC